rnacentral:rRNA from 1 species
AGAGCGAACGCUGGCGGCAGGCCUAACACAUGCAAGUCGAGCGCCCGUAGCAAUACGGGAGCGGCAGACGGGAUAGUAACACGUGGGAACGCGCCCUUCGGUUCGGAAUAACUCAGGGAAACUUGAGCUAAUACCGAAUACGCCCUUACGGGGAAAGAUUUAUUGCCGAAGGAACGGCCCGCGUCCGAUUAGCUAGUUGGUGAGGUAAUGGCUCACCAAGGCUACGAUCGGUAGCUGGUCUGAGAGGAUGACCAGCAUCACUGGGACUGAGACACGGCCCAGACUCCUACGGGAGGCAGCAGUGGGGAAUAUUGGACAAUGGGCGAAAGCCUGACGCAGCAACGCCGCGUGGAGGACGAAGGCUUUCUGAGUUGUAAACUCCUUUCAGCAGGGACGAUUGUGACGGUACCUGCAGAAGAAGCACCGGCCAACUACGUGCCAGCAGCCGC